UGGGGAAUAUUGGACAAUGGGCGCAAGCCUGAUCCAGCCAUGCCGCGUGAGUGAUGAAGGCCCUAGGGUUGUAAAGCUCUUUCACCGGUGAAGAUAAUGACGGUAACCGGAGAAGAAGCCCCGGCUAACUUCGUGCCAGCAGCCGCGGUAAUACGAAGGGGGCUAGCGUUGUUCGGAUUUACUGGGCGUAAAGCGCACGUAGGCGGACUUUUAAGUCAGGGGUGAAAUCCCGGGGCUCAACCCCGGAACUGCCUUUGAUACUGGGAGUCUUGAGUAUGGUAGAGGUGAGUGGAAUUCCGAGUGUAGAGGUGAAAUUCGUAGAUAUUCGGAGGAAAACCAGUGGCGAAGGCGGCUCACUGGACCAUUACUGACGCUGAGGUGCGAAAGCGUGGGGAGCAAACAGG
rnacentral:rRNA from 1 species